GGACCCGCACAAGCGGUGGAGCAUGUGGUUUAAUUCGACGCAACGCGAAGAACCUUACCAGGUCUUGACAUCCCAUUGACGGGUAUAGAGAUAUACCGUUUCUUCGGAACAAUGGAGACAGGUGGUGCAUGGUUGUCGUCAGCUCGUGUCGUGAGAUGUUGGGUUAAGUCCCGCAACGAGCGCAACCCUUGUCGUUAGUUACUAACAUUAAGUUGAGGACUCUAGCGAGACUGCCAGUGAUAAACUGGAGGAAGGUGGGGAUGACGUCAAAUCAUCAUGCCCCUUAUGGCCUGGGCUACACACGUGCUACAAUGGUUAGAACAAAGAGAAGCGAAAUUGCGAAGUGGAGCAAACCUCAAAAAACUAAUCUCAGUUCAGAUUGUAGGCUGCAACUCGCCUGCAUGAAGUCGGAAUCGCUAGUAAUCGCGAAUCAGCAUGUCGCGGUGAAUACGUUCCCGGGUCUUGUACACACCGCCCGUCACACCACGAGAGUUUGUAACACCCGAAGCCGGUGGCCUAACCUAUUUAUAGGAGGGAGCCGUCUAAGGUGGGACAGAUGAUUGGGGUG
rnacentral:rRNA from 1 species